rnacentral:rRNA from 1 species
CCUACGGGAGGCAGCAGUGGGGAAUCUUGCACAAUGGGGGAAACCCUGAUGCAGCGACGCCGCGUGAGUGAAGAAGUAUUUCGGUACGUAAAGCUCUAUCAGCAGGGAAGAAAAUGACGGUACCUGACUAAUAAGCCCCGGCUAACUACGUGCCAGCAGCCGCGGUAAUACGUAGGGGGCAAGCGUUAUCCGGAUUUACUGGGUGUAAAGGGAGCGUAGACGGCAGCGCAAGUCUGGAGUGAAAUCCCAUGGCUUAACCAUGGAACUGCUUUGGAAACUGUGCAGCUAGAGUGCAGGAGAGGUAAGCGGAAUUCCUAGUGUAGCGGUGAAAUGCGUAGAUAUUAGGAGGAACACCAGUGGCGAAGGCGGCUUACUGGACUGUAACUGACGUUGAGGCUCGAAAGCGUGGGGAGCAAACAGGAUUAGAUACCCCUGUAGUC